rnacentral:rRNA from 1 species
UACAGAGGUCCCAAGCGUUGUUCGGAUUCACUGGGCGUAAAGGGUGCGUAGGUGGUAAGGUAAGUCCGAUGUGAAAGCUCAGAGCUUAACUCUGAAAUGGCAUAGGAUACUAUCUUGCUUGAGGUUUGGAGGGGGGACUGGAAUUCUCGGUGUAGCAGUGAAAUGCGUAGAUAUCGAGAGGAACACCAGUGGCGAAGGCGAGUCCCUGGACAACACCUGACACUGAGGCACGAAAGCUAGGGGAGCAAACAGG